UACGAAGGACCCGAGCGUUAUCCGGAUUCAUUGGGUUUAAAGGGUGCGUAGGCGGUCGUGACAAGUCACUUGUGAAAUCUCCGGGCUUAACUCGGAACGGUCAAGUGAUACUGUCGGACUAGAGUACAGAAGGGGCAACUGGAAUUCUCGGUGUAGCGGUGAAAUGCGUAGAUAUCGAGAGGAACACCUGCGGCGAAGGCGGGUUGCUGGGCUGAUACUGACGCUGAGGCGCGAAAGCCAGGGGAGCGAACGGG
rnacentral:rRNA from 1 species